rnacentral:rRNA from 1 species
AUUGAACGCUGGCGGCAGGCUUAACACAUGCAAGUCGAGCGGGGAAAGGUAGCUUGCUACCCGACCUAGCGGCGGACGGGUGAGUAAUGCUUAGGAAUCUGCCUAUUAGUGGGGGACAAUGUUCCAAAAGGAACGCUAAUACCGCAUACGUCCUACGGGGGAAAGCAGGGGAUCUUCGGACCUUGCGCUAAUAGAUGAGCCUACGUCGGAUUAGCUAGUUGGUGGGGUAAAGGCCUACCAAGGCGACGAUCUGCAGCGGGUCUGAGAGGAUGAUCCGCCACACUGGGACUGAGACACGGCCCAGACUCCUACGGGAGGCAGCAGUGGGGAAUAUUGGACAAUGGGCGCAAGCCUGAUCCAGCCAUGCCGCGUGUGUGAAGAAGGCCUUUUGGUUGUAAAGCACUUUAAGCGAGGAGGAGGCUCCUUUAGUUAAUACCUAAAGUGAGUGGACGUUACUCGCAGAAUAAGCACCGGCUAACUCUGUGCCAGCCGCCGCGGUAA